CCUGGUUGAUCCUGCCAGUAGCAUAUGCUUGUCUCAAAGAUUAAGCCAUGCAUGUGUAAGUACACACGGCCGGUACAGUGAAACUGCAAAUGGCUCAUUAAAUCAGUUAUGGUUCCUUUGAUCGCUCCAUCUGUUACUUGGAUAACUGUGGUCAUUCUAAAGCUAAUACAUGCAGACGAGCGCGGACCUUCCCGGAUGCGUGCAUUUAUCAGACCAAGACUAAUCCAGGCUCACCAGCCCCUUUGGUGACGCUAGAUAACCUUGGGCCGAUUGCACGUCCCCAUGACGGCGACGAUGCAUUCGGAUGUGUGCCCUAUCAACUUUCGAUGGUACUUUCUCUGCCUACCAUGGUGACCAUGGGUAAUGGGGAAUCGGUGUUCGAUUCCAGAGAGGGAGCCUGAGAAACGGCUACCACACACAAGGAAGGCCGCAGGCGCGCAAAUUACCCACUGCCAACUCCGGGAGGUAGUGACGAAAAAUAACAAUACAGGACUUUUUCGAGGCACUGUAAUUGGAAUGAGUACACUUUUAAAUCCUUUAACAAGUACCUAUAGGAGGGCAAGUCUGAUGCCAGCAGCCACGGUAAUUCCAGCUCCAAUAGCGUAUAUUAAAGUUGCUGCAGUUAACAAGCUUGUAGUUGAUCUUGGGAUCGAGCUGGCGGUCCGCCGUGAGGUGAGCUACCACCUGUCCCGGGCCCUGCCCCUUGGCACCCCCUUGAAGCUCUUGCCUGAGUGUACUGGGGGUCCGAAGCGUUUACUUUGAACAAAUUUGAGUGUUCAAAGCAGGCCGGUCACCUGAAUACUUCAGCUAGGAAUAAUGGAAUAGGACUCCGGUUCUAUUUUGUUGGUUUUCGGAACUGGGGCCAUGAGACGGCCGGGGGCACUGGUAUUGUACCGCUACAGGUGAAAUUCUUGGACCGGCGCAAGACGAACCAAAGUGUAAGCAUUAGCCAAGAAUGUUAUAAUUUAUCAAGAACGAAAGUCUGAGGUUCGAAGAUUAUCUGAUACUGUUGUAGCUCUGACCAUAAACUAUGCAGACUAGCGAUCUGGCAGUGUUUCUCCCAUGACCGCCGAGCAGCUUCUGCGAAACCAAAGUCUUUGGGUCCGGGAGAGUAUGGUUGCAAAGCGGAAACUUAAAGGAAUUGACGGAAGGGCGCCAUGGCAGAUGUGGAGCAGGUGCAAGUGGAUCUAAGUCACCGCGCCUAAGCCCCACCCACCUGGUGCCUUCCUGCCUGCCGCUCUUUUUCACCACUUAGCAAGCCCCGCCCACCUGGUGACUUCCUGCCUGCCACUCUUUUUCACCACUUAGCAAGCCCCGCCCACCUGGUGCCUUCUGCCUGCCACUCUUUUUCCCUUUUUAAGGAACCCACCAGCAUCUUUUCCUUUGCAGAUGGGAGCAGGUGCGAGUGGAUCUAGGUCACCUGGCCUAAGCCCCGCCCACCUGGUGCUUUCCUGGCUGCUGCUCUUUUUCACCACUUAGCAAGCCCCGCGCUCUAGUGCCUUCCUGUCUGCCGCUCAUUUUCCCUACUCAAGGAGCCCUCCAGCCUCUUUUCCUUUGCAGAUAGGGAGCAGGUGCAAGUGGAUCUAGGUCACCUGGUGCCUUGCUGGCUGCCGCUCUUUUUCACCACUUAGCAAGCCCCCCCCCACCCCACCUGGGGCCUUCCUGCCUGCUGCUCUUUUUCCUUACUUAAGGUGCCCUCCAGCCUCUUUUCCUUUGCAGAUGGGGAGCAGGUGCAAGUGGAUCUCGGUCACCUGGC
rnacentral:rRNA from 1 species